GUCGGGCAUGGUGGCUCAUGCCUGUAAUCCCAACACUUUGGGAGGCUGAGGCGGGUGGAUCACUUGAGGUCAGGAGUUCAAGAUCAGCCUGGCCAACAUGGUGAAACCCCGUCUCUA
rnacentral:SRP_RNA from 2 species